GACGAACGCUGGCGGCGUGCUUAACACAUGCAAGUCGAACGGAAAGGCCCUGCUUUUGUGGGGUGCUCGAGUGGCGAACGGGUGAGUAACACGUGAGUAACCUGCCCCUGACUUUGGGAUAACUUCAGGAAACUGGGGCUAAUACCGGAUAGGAGCUCCUGCUGCAUGGUGGGGGUUGGAAAGUUUCGGCGGUUGGGGAUGGACUCGCGGCUUAUCAGCUUGUUGGUGGGGUAGUGGCUUACCAAGGCUUUGACGGGUAGCCGGCCUGAGAGGGUGACCGGCCACAUUGGGACUGAGAUACGGCCCAGACUCCUACGGGAGGCAGAAGUGGGGAAUAUUGCACUAUGGGCGGAAGCCUGAUGCAGCAACGCCGCGUGCGGGAUGACGGCCUUCGGGUUGUAAACCGCUUUCGCCUGUGACGAAGCGUGAGUGACGGUAAUGGGUAAAGAAGCACCGGCUAACUACGUG
rnacentral:rRNA from 1 species